CUACGGGUCGCUGCAGUGAGGAAUAUUGCACAAUGGGGGGAACCCUGAUGCAGCAACGCCGCGUGGAGGAUGACGCAUUUCGGUGUGUAAACUCCUUUUAUAUGUCAAGAAAAUGACGGUAGCAUAUGAAUAAGCACCGGCUAACUCCGUGCCAGCAGCCGUGGUAAUACGGAGGGUGCAAGCGUUACUCGGAAUCACUGGGCGUAAAGGACGCGUAGGCGGGUUGGAAAGUCAGGUGUGAAAUCCUACAGCUUAACUGUAGAACUGAACUUGAAACUUCUAAUCUAGAGUAUGGGAGGGGGAGAUGGAAUUAGUGGUGUAGGGGUAAAAUCCGUAGAUAUCACUAGGAAUACCUAAAGCGAAGGCGAUCUCCUGGAACAUUACUGACGCUAAGGCGUGAAAGCGUGGGGAGCAAACAGGAUUAGAUACCCUAGUAGUC
rnacentral:rRNA from 1 species